rnacentral:rRNA from 1 species
UACCGAACAACCCUAGAAUAGUUUGUAUCUCUCUGGAGAGAGUUGGAACGACGAGAAACGAAAGGACUCUGGUUGGAGAGCACGGAUCUUUAGAAACUGAACGUAGGACUUUUUCGAGGACCAGGCCUACCGAUGUGUCCCGAUAAGAAACCGUUCACGACCCUAGAGUAUUUCUUACCAGAACAGCCACGACAGAAUGUGAAGGUCUUGGAGUUGUGGGUUUUAUAAAAGGACGACUUAUCACGGUAGUAUCGGGAGGAGGGAUUCGUGGUCCCCCGGUUAUUUGGUUUACUCAAAGCAGGCUAAUCAGAGGAGGUAACGAAACGGUUCUAUUAACGGUUUUAGAAUCGAAGAUCUGACGUCGGAAAGUACGUAGCAGACUGAAGAGUCACGGUUUUACGUAAAAGAUUUCCCGUUUCGUAAGUACUAUUGAAGCAAAUACAUGUUCUUUACCGUUUUAGUAAAUAUGUCUUUCUCCAAGGCCGACAAUACUAAUUCGAUCUGGAGAGGUUUCGGAAACUAAGGCAACGUACCCUUAAGAAUGAGUUCGAUGAUGUCAAGUCUCCAAAACCCUCAUAGAGACGAUACAAAGACAGCCGGAGGUGGUUCCACGAACAAUUAAGAGUCCAGUGACUAGUUUAAGACGUAUCCUUUCCAGACUUCGUCCCACUGGGCAAGAACGGCAGCGAAAAACAGAACCAGCGGACUACCUGGAACGAGUCGUCUUCUUGCAGGAGAGGGGGGAGCCGUUCUACCGGUAGUUCGUAUCCCGGAGGUAAAUGCGUCUGCUACAAUAGUAGAAGUAGUUUGGAAAUAAUGUCCUGAAGUUACGACAAAGCGUCUAUUACCUAGAGAAACCAUUUCACUGUCCGGAUACGUGGCUAUACCGAUUUUCAUUUUAAGAAGGUUGGUCUACACUACCAUAACUAGAGUGAGGAGACGUUCGACGAUAACCAACGGUCUAACGAUCGAAGGGAACAUGAAUAAACCCCUACGGGGAGAGCCUAUUCGCAGACUUUAACUGACUAAAGGUUCUCGAAGACCUAUUCGAAUAGUUCUUUUAACGACGUACCUUCCGUGCAACCUAGAGAAGGGGACCCCCCAACCAAGAACAAGCGAAGGAUAAUAGUCGGUACAGGUAGAAAAAACCAAGAACGGUACCUCGUCGGUUUCACCCAAUGGUUCGUCUAACU